UCCGCGCUCGUCUGCAGCCGGCACAGGUCCAGCCCUCCUCUGCCGCCCUUCCAUCCACCAGUUUCACAUUCAACCGCUCCUUAAUCUUCUCCUUCACCUAGAUCGGCCGCCACCCACGAGACAGGCGCAGGGAUGAGCCGACGUAGGCGCCUUCUGGCCUGACGGGAUGCGACCACAUGGUGGCGGUCGCAGCAGGCCGGCAGCAGCGCGCCGAUGUAGCCAACCUCUGAGGAGAGCGGGCCAGAGAGGGCAAGUUCUAGGAAUUUGCCUCUAGGAUUAAGAUGUGGAGCUUGGAGAUGGCCGCACAACAGCAGAGUGGUAUUUUCAAGGUAUCUAUCAACGUACAUCCAACGCUGGGUUCCUCCUCGGUCGCAGGCAAAGAGACACAACGAUAUCUGGUACCUGAUUGUAGAAGAGUAGCUUGAUUGCAGUAAUGUUUCAGUUCUUUUUUUUUUGUCAUGUGAUCUCCAUAUCUCCAGCUAUGGAGCUAAUUGAAUAAUGGGGAAAGGUGAUUUCAAACAACACCCGAGUGUGAGAGUACCAUUGGAUCAUAUUUUAUUUCACUAUAACCUUGGAUAUGAUCUUUAUGGAAUUGUUCUUUGCAGUGACUUUACCUAUGGUUUUCUUGAAUGUGUUCAGAAAGGAGUAGAGGGAGCGAUCUCUCAUGUCGUUGGCAAGAAAACUGUUUCACCAUCACAUAAGGGGUGGAUCUUGGCAAAUCUGUAAGGCAACUAUCCAAGGUACACACUAGAUGUGAACGUGGAGAGGGUGGAGGACGUGGUGAAGCACCAGCAGCUGCUCGAGGAGGCAAGAGACCUGCAACACCUGCCUGCCUUGGCGGUGGGCGUCGUUCCGAUUGCAGAGAUAUUAUCCAAGCUAGAAAGAAAGGAUGGAGGAUAAGAGAUUGUGAUGGUUGCAAAAUAAGAAGAUUUACAUUGUGUUGCAGCAACAUUAGAAGGAACUAUUUAGCUCCAGCUUCAGGUAUAGGUAAAGGCUGCCAUAUGUGAAGUAAUCAUCAUUAUACUCUUAUUUCCGCCCUACCGAUGAAUAAUGGGUUGCUUUUACCUUUUCUUCUGUUGUAACACAACUUUCUUAAAGAGGACAUCACCUCCUCUUCCAGCUCUAGACACCAAUCUUUGGCAUGAUGCAAGGAUAGCCUGUACGCCUGACGACCUACCGCUUUCUAGGCCGCAAUAUUUUUCUGUUGUGCGCUCAGUUAAUUGCAUGAUUGCAUCCACUAAAUUCUUGUAGUUCUUAUGGCUGCUUGAGGUUUUCAUGGUAGAAUUUAAUUAACUGCGGGCACCAUAAGCCUAACUGUUGUUUAGUAAUUAUCGUUAAAACCUUUGUGAUUGAUCAUGUACAGUUCUUAAGGAUUACCAUUUUGUUUAGGCUGGCAACCAAGAAGAAGCCCAGCGACAAACUUCUUGAAGUUUGGUGAUUUCUUUCCCCUCCCCCUCCCUAAAAAUCAGAGGUAAAAUUCUUCAGAGUUUGCACCUGUUUGUUUGUUCCUGAGAUUUGGUGAAGUCGUGUGAAUGUGUCCAAGAUCUUUGUGAUGAUGGCCAUAAAGAUAGUGAUGCAAGAUACUGGGUAUCCAAAGUUGUGGAUGCAACAUUUUGAGUUCUACUUUAAUCUUGCAUAUUUGAUAUCUUUUUUGUGGGAAUUUGCUAACUACUAACCUAUGCUUCUACAUGCUAAAUAUCUACUGUGUGCAAUUAAUCGGAGUUCAAGGUCUGCAAGGUUCAUGUGUCCUUAUAGAGAAACACACUGCUAGCAUCUCCAGAUAUUUACUUUUCUGUUUUGCUUAGGUUUUGUAAACUGUCAUUGCUUAGCUCUGUGAUUUUUAAUCAUCAUAUCCCUUUUUACUUAGAAAAUGAUUGCUAGCAUCUUUAGAAGCUACAAUAUGUUCAGAGUAGAUUAGGUACGUUAAGCUAAGAAAUAUGUGCAUUAUGACGGCUUAUCUCCUUGCAACCUUAACACCUGAUAUCAUUUUUUUCCACUUCAGCCAAUGCUUCCGGGAUCCUAACGAUUCAGAUCCAGGUAUAGUUUCUUCUUUCCAGUGUUUGUUUCAGACUGCAUCUUUCAUGCACAAAAACUGGGUCAAAAAAAUUCAUAUCAUGGGUCGUAGUUAUUAUGAAACUAUAAAAAAUGAUCUAUGCCGUUCUGGGCUAGGAUACAUAGAUUUUCAGUUAGCAUUGCAACUCAAGUGAGCUUUUUGAUAAAAUUCUAUGUCCUAUUCUUCCAUGGUAACAUAAAGAGAAAAGAGCUACCAGUCUCACCUGUCAAAUAGAAUAUGAAAGUUUCCACUGUUAGUUCAUCGGCCAGCCAAUGCAUCAACUUUUCAGAAGUAUUUGUGAUUGUUUGGUUUGAUCAGUGUCUUUCAAAAAUUAUCACAAAACCUUUAGAUUUUUCUUAUUAAAUCUAGCUAGCUAUCGAAUCGUUUCGAGGUACGACCUAAAAAGGAGACAUCAACGACUGAUCAAGUUGUCCCUUAAUUAUUUGACAGUGAACAUGCUCUCCUUUAUAUGACACUUCUUCAGUUCUAACUUGUAAGGCACAAAAACCAUUUUAAUGCUGGCACUACAUCCUUGCAUGCCGAGGGAGCAGAGGACCACUGAGAGGAAGUAAAAAGGCAAAAUGGGAGUGCAGUUGGCAAGUUACAUCCUUGUUUUGUUAUAUGUAUCGACGAUAUACUGUAUCAAGUAUUCGCGUGUCAGAUAUCAACUUUCUUAUUAUCAUUAUAAUGGUCGCAACUUGUCAA